UCAAAACACAGAUACAAGAGCGCUGAAUAUGAUGGAUAUUUACCUAGGAGCCAUGGAAACUAUCCUAUCUUUUGCCAGCCAUGAACUUUAUUCUUUAAACAUUUGCACUUUAAUGAUGUCAACAGCUCUGCACUGCAGGUUUUUCCCAGAAGGAAACCUUUGAGUCAGAGGCGAACGUCCUGCCAACAUGUUCAGCACCAAAAGACUGAAGAAGAAGUCCCAGUCGGUGGAUAUCGGCUCUCAAGGUUUUCCAGCACGGCUCAUCCCGAGUCUGUCCUUAAACAGAUCUUCACCACCUGUUGCCAAGACAACCACAUCUGAGGUGCAAGAAAACAACACCACCAAUUCCCAGCGCCGUGGUCCGCGGUGCAGCGAUCUGAAACGAGGAUACACAAUAGGUAAAUGAGCAUCAGGCUGUCUUCAGUAUAGCAGACUCUGUGUGUUUGUUUCAUGAGUUUCAUCUGUGUGUGUGAGUGCAUGAAGAUGUUCACAUUGUGUGAGUGUUUAGAAAGUUCUGACUUCCUGUUUUCUGCCUCCUCUUGUUCUCUUCUUGCUCUCUGCUCAUUCACCUCAGUCU